UACAGAGGUCUCAAGCGUUGUUCGGAUUCAUUGGGCGUAAAGGGCGCGUAGGCUGCGGGGCAAGUCGGGUGUGAAAUUUCGGAGCUUAACUCCGAAACUGCAUUCGAUACUGCCGUGCUUGAGGACUGGAGAGGAGACUGGAAUGGUCGGUGUAGCGGUGAAAUGCGUAGAGAUCGACCAGAACACCGGUGGCGAAGGCGGGUCUCUGGACAGUUCCUGACGCUCAGGCACGAAAGCCAGGGGAGCAAACGGG
rnacentral:rRNA from 1 species